AAAAAGGGAAAGAAAGAAAGAAAGAAGAAGAUGAGAAGAAUACUCUCAAAGUCUUAUCGUUCCCCUUUUCAUUUCUAGGAGUCUCUCUCGACUCUAGCAAUUCCAUUAUUUCUUUCUUGGAAUCAUUUUCAUUGUUGUUUGGAUCUGCUUCUCUCCUUUGGUCAUUUCUUGCUUCUCCCAUAGUCUAUGCUGUCACAGGCUUCCCACUUGUCUCUAUGUCACUACCAAUCACUUUGUUUCAAGACUGAGACAUGGACGCAUACCCUUCUUUUUUCAUUUCAAUACCUUGGAGUCAUCUAUGGUCAAUUAAGUUCAGCUCCUCUAUAUGUGUUUGGGACAGUUCAUCGAAAAGAGUUUGUAUCAGAUGAGAUAGCUUAUGGCCUUUUUCCCUUUAUUUUCUAGACUAUGACCAUCAUUUCUUUGCUGAAAUAUGCCCUUUUAGUACUGAGAGAUGAUGAUGAUGGAGAAGGUGGUACUUUUGCUUUGUACUCAAUCUUAUGCAGGCAUGCCAUAGUGGGUUUGCUCCCAAGUGACAUAAGUGCAAAGGAAGUUAUGCAGUAUGAGGAAGAAAGUCCUUUUAUGACCAAGGUUGAAUCCAGGGCAAGAAGAGCCAUUGCCAAACACAAAAGCAACCAUUAUCUGAUGUUGUUCUUGGCUUUGUUCAGUGCCUGCAUGGCAAUUAGCGAUGGAGUUCUUACUCCUUCUCUUUCUGGUUUGAGAGUCCUUAUCAUCUUGUCUUAUUAUUUCCAGCAGGAACAUGCUUUGAGCUCUCCAGUUUGAAUAAUCAUUCUCUUUUUCUAUCCACCUUUCCAGUGUUAUCAGCUUCAACAGGUUUUGGAAGAACAUUGGCUUCAAUCAAAUUUUCACAUUCAGAACAUAGAUAGGAGAGAAUCUCAAAAGCUUUAAAAGAAUUUAUAAAUUGAUUUAGGAUUAACUGGAGUAGUUCCGGAGAUCCAUGACUUUGCAGGAGAAUGGGUACUGUCUCUCUCUCUCUCUCUCUCCCUCUUUCUCUCUCUGUUAAAACAAAGAAUGUGCAAUUUCACCUUGGCUAACUUGAAAAGUUUCCAACUCUGAUGUGGGAGAUUUGAUCUUGUUUGUGUUGGGGAAACUGCCUUGAUUUGUGUAGUCACUGAAGCUUUUUCUUUUUGGCAUG